rnacentral:rRNA from 1 species
UACGUAGGUGACCAGCGUUGUCCGGAUUUACUGGGCGUAAAGAGCGCGCAGGCGGUCGUUCAAGUCGAGUGUGGAAGCCCCCGGCUCAACUGGGGAGGGUCAUUCGAUACUGAUCGACUGGAAGGCAGGAGAGGGAAGCGGAAUUCCCGGUGUAGUGGUGAAAUGCGUAGAUAUCGGGAGGAACACCAGUGGCGAAGGCGGCUUCCUGGCCUGUUCUUGACGCUGAGGCGCGAAAGCUAGGGGAGCAAACGGG